rnacentral:rRNA from 1 species
CUGUCAAGCUUCCAAGAAAAGCCCUAUACCCGUUAAGGCAUGACGGCCUGUACCCGAAACCGACACAGGUGGGGUGGUAGAGAAUACCGAGGGGCACGAGAUAACUCUCUCUAAGGAACUCGGCAAAAUGGCCCCGUAACUUCGGGAGAAGGGGUGCCACCGCAAGGUGGUCGCAGUGAAGAGGCCCAGGCGACUGUUUACCAAAAACACAGGUCUCCGCUAAGUCGCAAGACGAUGUAUGGGGGCUGACGCCUGCCCAGUGCCGGAAGGUUAAGGAAGCUGGUCAGCGCAAGCGAAGCUAGCGACUGAAGCCCCGGUGAACGGCGGCCGUAACUAUAACGGUCCUAAGGUAGCGAAAUUCCUUGUCGGGUAAGUUCCGACCCGCACGAAAGGCGUAACGAUCUGGGCGCUGUCUCGGAGAGAGGCUCGGCGAAAUAGAAUUGUCUGUGAAGAUGCGGACUACGUGCACCCGGACAGAAAGACCCUAUGAAGCUUUACUGUAGCUUGGUAUUGUGCCCGGGCUCUGAAUGCGCAGGAUAGGUGGGAGGCUUUGAUCCAUUGCUUGUGGGUAAUGGUGAGCCACUGGUGAGAUACCACUCUUUCAGAGCUAGGGUUCUAACGGUCACCCGUUAUCCGGGGACCGGACAGUAUCAGGUGGGCAGUUUGACUGGGGCGGUCGCCUCCUAAAAGGUAACGGAGGCGCGCAAAGGGUCCCUCAGGCUGGUUGGAAAUCAGCCGACGAGUGUAAAGGCAGAAGGGAGCUUGACUGUGAGACCUACAAGUCGAACAGGGACGAAAGUCGGCCUUAGUGAUCCGACGGUUCUGAGUGGAAGGGCCGUCGCUCAGCGGAUAAAAGUUACUCUAGGAUAACAGGCUGAUCUCCCCCAAGAGUUCACAUCGACGGGGAGGUUUGGCACCUCGAUGUCGGCUCAUCGCAACCUGGGGCUGAAGUCGGUCCCAAGGGUUGGGCUGUUCGCCCAUCAAAGCGGUACGCGAGCUGGGUUCAGAACGUCGUGAGACAGUUCGGUCCAUAUCCGGUGCACGCGCAGGAACAUUGAGAGGAUUUCUCCCUAGUACGAGAGGACCGGGAGGAACGCACCUCUGGUGUACCAGUUAUCGUGCCAACGGUAAACGCUGGGUAGCCAUGUGCGGAGCGGAUAACCGCUGAAAGCAUCUAAGUGGGACCCCACCUCAAGAUGAGUGUUCUCAUGGCAUAAGCCAGUAAGGUCACGGGAAGAACACCCGUUGAUAGGCUCUACGUGGAAGCGUGGCAACACGUGAAGCGGAGGAGUACUAAUAGACCGAGGGCUUGAC